AUUGAACGCUGGCGGCAGGCCUAACACAUGCAAGUCGAGCGGAUCGCCGGACGGGUGAGUAAUGCCUCGGCAUCUGCCUGGUACUGGGGGAUAACGUCCGGAACCGGGCGCUAAUACCGCAUACUAUCAGAUGAGCCUAGGUCGGAGUAGCUAGUGGGUGGGGUAAAGGCCUACCACGGCGACGAUCCGUAACUGGUCUGAGAGGAUGAUCAGUCACACGGGAACUGAGACACGGUCCAGACUCCUACGGGAGGCAGCAGUGGGGAAUAUUGGACAAUGGGUGAAAGCCUGAUCCAGCCAUGCCGCGUGUGUGAAGAAGGUCUUCGGAUUGUAAAGCACUUUAAGUUGGGAGGCGUUACCAACAGAAUAAGCACCGGCUAACUUCGUGCCAGCCGCCGCGGUAAUUC
rnacentral:rRNA from 1 species